rnacentral:rRNA from 1 species
AUUGAACGCUGGCGGCAGGCCUAACACAUGCAAGUCGAGCGGAGCGGCGGACGGGUGAGGAAUACAUAGGAAUCUGCCUGGUCGUGGGGGAUAACGUCCGGAAACGGGCGCUAAUACCGCAUACUAUCAGAUGAGCCUAGGUCGGAGUAGCUAGUUGGUGGGGUAAAGGACUCCCAGGGCGACGAUCCGUACAUGGGCUUAGAGGAGGCUCAGUCAUGAUGGAACGGAGACACGGUCCAGACUUCGACGGGAGGUAGCAGUGGGGAAUCUUGGACAAUGGGCGAAAGCCUGAUCCAGCCAUGCCGGGUGUGUGAAGAAGGUCUUCGGAUUGUAAAGCACUUUAAGUUGGGAGGCGUUACCAAAAGAAUAAGCACCGGCUAACUUCGUGCCAGCAGCCGCGGUAAUAC